UACGUAGGGGGCUAGCGUUGUCCGGAAUCAUUGGGCGUAAAGAGCUCGUAGGCGGUUUGUCGCGUCUGCUGUGAAAUCCCGAGGCUCAACCUCGGGCCUGCAGUGGGUACGGGCAGACUAGAGUGCGGUAGGGGAGAUUGGAAUUCCUGGUGUAGCGGUGGAAUGCGCAGAUAUCAGGAGGAACACCGAUGGCGAAGGCAGAUCUCUGGGCCGUAACUGACGCUGAGGAGCGAAAGCGUGGGGAGCGAACAGG
rnacentral:rRNA from 1 species